rnacentral:rRNA from 1 species
CCUACGGGUGGCUGCAGUGAGGAAUAUUGGUCAAUGGGCGCGAGCCUGAACCAGCCAAGUAGCGUGAAGGAUGACUGCCCUACGGGUUGUAAACUUCUUUUAUAAAGGAAUAAAGUGAGGCACGUGUGCCUUUUUGUAUGUACUUUAUGAAUAAGGAUCGGCUAACUCCGUGCCAGCAGCCGCGGUACUACGGAGGAUCCGAGCGUUCUCCGGAUGUAUUGGGUGUAAAGGGGGCGUAGAUGGGUUGUUAAGUCAGUUGUGAAAGUUUGCGGCUCAACCGUAAAAUUGCAAUUGAUACUGGCAGCCUUGAGUACAGUUGAGGUAGGCGGAAUUCGUGGUGUAGCGGUGAAAUGCUUAGAUAUCACGAAGAACUCCGAUUGCGAGGGCAGCUUACUAAACUGCCACUGACAUUGAUGCUCGAAAGUGUGGGUAUCAAACAGGAUUAGAUACCCCAGUAGUC